GACGGAGGGUGCUAGCGUUGUUCGGAAUCACUGGGCGUAAAGGGCGCGUAGGCGGCUGUGGCAGUCGGGUGUGAAAGCCCGGAGCUCAACUCCGGAACGGCACUCGAGACGCCAUGGCUGGAGGCCGGAAGAGGAGGGUGGAAUACCCAGUGUAGAGGUGAAAUUCGUAGAUAUUGGGUGGAACACCGGUGGCGAAAGCGGCUCUCUGGUCCGGACCUGACGCUGAGGCGCGAAAGCUAGGGGAGCAAACAGG
rnacentral:rRNA from 1 species